rnacentral:lncRNA from 1 species
AUGAUGCAUCCAUCUGGAAGACUCUUCAAAAGAGCUGCGUAUCUCAUGAGUUACAGGACAGACACAGCAGAUAGGAAGUCAGCGCUUUCUAAAUCAAUCCUGCUCUUGGAGAAGGUUAUGCAUGUAAACCCACCUGGACCUCCUCCUCACACUCUAACUCCCUGUUAUAAAGCCAACUCCUGCUUUACAACAAAUACUCAUAUCUAUUUGCACUUCCUGAAUGACAUAGUGAAACUGAGCAUCUUUGUCUUAUUCCUGCGAGGCCUGGACCUGCUGCCCUGGAUGAAGCCCAGCCUCAGGGGUGAGGCUGCCCGACAGGCUCCCGACUCAGAGGGACCCACAGCUUUAGUUGUCAUUGAUGUCACUGUUGGCCCAGGAGUGAGCUGGUACCACCUAAUACCCCUCGAGAGGAGACCCAGCCUCCUGCAUGAGAAUGGAGUAUUCCUGGGAGGUAGCGUCUCCCUGAACACAGACGGGACCUGGCAGCGAGGACCACAGGGCCUGACCCCUGCGAGCCAAUGUCUCCAGAACCUGAGACUUCGAGUCAUUGCCCAUUGAGGGAUGGACUGAAUCACAUCUCAAAAUUCAACCAGAUUUCCAGUUGGAGGCCAGGGGAAUCUGGAAACAUUAAUUGCCUCCUCCAUUAAACAGAUGCAUUUACUUUUGUGUUUAUUGAAUUAAUUUACAAAAUGCUGCUGUCUUGAGGGAAGCAUUCCCUGGAGCUUGCAAAUACCAGCUAAUACCACGUAGUUAAUAUGCAUUCAACAGAAGCAGUAAUGUCAGGAUUAUAUUAGCACCAACCAAAGAAUACAAACAUCCAGACUUUUGAAUUCUCCAACCUCCAAGACCUCCGUGAUUUACUGCCUUUUAGGGUUCAAUCUAGAUAGGGAAAUUGGAUUUCCUGUCAGAAGUUUCUGUGCAGCACAUUCCUGAACUUCCUUGAAUGGUUUGACGUCUUUCUGAGGUUUCUGGCGUCAGUCUCUACGGCCGACUGCUACCACCUUGAAUCCAAGGGGACUGUUUUGGAGGAGAGGAAGGGGAACCUAGUUGCAUCUUCCUGGUAGUGGGACAAGUUAGUCUAAUGUGUUUUUCACAGUCUUCUAGGUGGGAGAAACGCCUGUAGAGCCCAGCAUCCAGGUGUUUCUGAAAUUGCUUCCAGUGAAUGAAGGCAUUUGCCUGCCUCCACCGUCCCAAUCAUGCCUACCCACUCUUUCCUCUUCUGAUGAGAUCUUUCAGCAAAUCAAGGCUGGGGCUUGGCGACUAACUUCCCAAGCAUCAACAGCUCUCUGUAUUUUAAGGUCCACACUGCCUGCCCUGAGAGGAAGAGAAGCUGGACAGUACCCAAGUACCCAAGGAAUCUAGAAACAACCUUUUCCUCUGCUCCUGUGCUAUCUGUGCUAACUGAUCAAACAGCACAUUUU